UAAGGAAUAUUGCUCAAUGGGAGAAAUCCUGAAGCAGCAACGCCGCGUGAAGGAAGAAGGGUCUUCGACUUGUAAACUUCUGUAGAAGAGGAAAAAUACUCCGAUAUAAUCGGAAUUGAUUGUACUCUUAAAGUAAGCCCCGGCUAACUACGUGCCAGCAGCCGCGGUAAUACGUAGGGGGCAAGCGUUGUCCGGAUUUACUGGGUGUAAAGGGUGCUCAGGCGGAUUUGUAAGUCAGAGGUGAAAUCCCGAAGCUUAACUUCGGAACUGCCUUUGAUACUGCAAGUCUAGAGUUCAAAAGAGGAUGAUGGAAUAUCUGGUGUAGCAGUGAAAUGCGUAGAUAUCAGAUAGAACACCAAUGGCGAAGGCAGUCAUCUGGUUUGAAACUGACGCUAAAGCACGAAAGUAUGGGGAGCAAACAGG
rnacentral:rRNA from 1 species